AGUGGAAUUGCUGGGUUGUAUGGUAAGUGUAUGUUUAACUUUUAAGAAACUCCCAAACUGUUUUCCAAUUUAUUGUACCAUUUGGCAUUUCCACCAGCAAU
rnacentral:pre_miRNA from 1 species